CAUAACUUGUGUGGCUCUGUCCUCCUUGCACAACCCUGAGGUUGCAGCCUUUCAUUGCGUAAGACGAGAGACUCAGAUUUAAGUAGCCUCGUACAAAACAUACCCCAAACCGAACCCAAUUCUCCAGUUUUGUGCAUGGGAACGACGUGGGGAACUCUGCCUGCAGACCUGCUCUACCAGAAACACCGUGGCAGCAGCUGGAAGUUUUUCUGUGGCAGCUUUCAGUAUCUGCAGCACUCGUGUGUUACCUUCAGGCAAUAUCUAACCUUCAGGUUGGACAGUUUUCACCCUGUAAUUAUCUCCUCUUAGCUGCAUGUUGUUAUUUCCUGGUCUCACCUGCUGAGGGAAGCCAACACGCUGGGCGUGCAUGGGAAGCUCUCCACACCCUCCGGGAGUCUGCUGAACUCUGCGGGGCACUGGGGCAGCACCGGGAACUGGCACCCUCCGCACGGACCUGGAGAACCACGCAACCAGUCUGAGGGGCCCCGUGCACAGGGAGAGGCUUUUUAGCUGGUUUCCUCCUGGGAGGUGCUGAUCGUUUUCAUGGGUGAAGAGAAAGAAAAAAAAGAAGCAAGCCAGCAAGAAAGCAAGUGUGCCAGAACCUUUUUUUUUUUUUUUUUUUUUCCUGACUGAGGAGGCUGCUAGCACUUCUACACAGGAGUACAGGAGAGACAAAAAAAAUGAAACUGCAAAACCAUGAGGCUGAAAGCCAGUUGUAUAAGCUGACAGAAAAGAGGUCUCUAUCUUCUUGUAGACCAGGUCCAAUGAGGUGUCAGAUAACCACAAAUCCUCAAGGUAAUUAAGAAUGACCACAACAAAUCCUCAUUCCUUCAGGAAGGAAUGGAAAAUUCAUCUCUUUGCCAUAGCUUUCCUUUUUUUCCAAAGAGCAUGAGGAAAAAGCUGGACAUGUAACUCUGUUUGUGGGCCAGUGGUACAUGUUCCUGGUGUGAUCUGAAACAAUUUCAAUUUAUAGGAAAUGUGACAGAUCGAUCCAGCUGUUUUUUUCUGCAGUUUGAAAUGGUCUGUGUGACUGGAGAGCAUGGGAAUUUGAGGCUUCCCGAGAGCCAAAUCUCUCUGCUGGUAUAAAUUUAUGUAGCUUAUCCAGCUAAGUGGUUGGACCUAUGGAUCAUCAGUAACCUCAGUGUCACAGCCUGUCUUUGCUAACUUUGGGUGUUGCCCUUGUUCCUCUUUAUGUCAUGCCAUGUCAGGGUUUUUAGAAUUACACAUACUGAUGGGUUUGUUGUUCUAAAGGGUGGUGGUAUUACAGGCACAAGUUCUGCUGGAGCAACCUCCUUUCCGAGCUGCACAAGAUGUCAAAUGGAAAGUCACCUAAGAAUUAGCAUGGAAAAAAGAAAACCCACAGAAGUAAGCAAACAAAAAACCUCAUAUAUUUGUAUUUGCAGUGCGAGUGCCACUUUCCUCCCAUUUCUGCUCUCAUUGUUGAAGAAUGGCAUUCAAUAACACUAACUCAUUAACCUCUACAGAGAGAGAAUGUUAAUUUGGGUGGCAGCAUGGAAAGAUGCUGGCAAAACUACUAUGGGUUAAGAAAUAGAUUUGACUAGGCAACGUAAUGUCAGAGACAAUUCAUAAACUGUUCCAUGAGUUCAUGUCUCUUACCUUCUCUUCCUCUAUGUUCCACCUAAAAAUAGCAAGUGCCUAUCCACAUCCCUGAGAAGUGGCAACACAGAUACCUGUCAGUAAUACCAGAAGCCUAGCUGUCUCCAAAACACCCAUAGACUCACAGGGCUUCAAACUGCCAAUCAACCUAGGCAAUGAGCUAUCCUAAUUUUCUUCCUAUCUACUCCAGGGAGCUAAUAUAGGAAAGGAAGUGAUUUCCAUUGGAACUGUCUAAUUCUUUAGUUUUGAUUACAGCAACAACAACAAAAAAGGAAGGAAAAUUGGACCAACCCAUGCUUUGCUGAAAAGUCUCUGAGAUCCUCAAGCCAAUGAUCUGCUGAGAUAUUUUCUGGGCCUAAAAUAAUCACUUGUACCAUAACCACAGGAAUUUCAAUAGUGACAGCUAUCCAAAAUUAAAGGACUAAAAAAAAGUCCUAAUACAUUAUUUAAACAAAUAAUGGGCAAUGUGAAAUUGAUUUGUGUACACCAAGCAUUUGCAUUAUUCACAGCUAUUACACUUUCAGGUCCUCCAGGAAGGAGCAAGAGGCUGCGACAGCUCAAAUAUAACAUUAAAAAAGCUUUGUGUCCCUGUAGUAGACACAGAUGCAUAUAAAACAUGGAGAAAUGCACAGACUAGUCCAGAAAUAAGAAAUGACCAGACUGGUCCAGACUUUUCUCAGCCUACCAUUUGACAUGGUAGUCCCAAGGCUUGAGUCUCCACUGCACAAAUAUUCUGUUUCUCAGACAAAGAGAUGAAGAAUCAUAGUAGAUGCCACAUAAGGACUGUAAUACCAACAAAAAGAGAGAAAUCCUCCCUGGUGUCUCCUUCCUAACCCAAGAAGAAAGAGUGUUAAAAAGAGGUUUGGAGCAGAGAUGUUGAGAGUUGGCCAGCCAUGUGGCCACAGUCAUGGUUUGAGAAGCUUAUGAUUCAUUUUGGUGCAUUUUUCAAUGUCAUCUUAGUCAUCUCCUUUCCCAAUAUGAGUAAAGUUAUUUACAACUCAUCUACCUUCUGCAACCAGGAGUUGGGCAGCUGAGGCACUCUCCAAAAAACACAGUGAGAACUGACCCCAGCACAGAAACAUGUCCAGUGUAUGUUUUCUCCAGUAGUAUGUUAACAAUGUGCUGUGGAUUUAGCAGUUUCUAUAGAUCUUAAUAGUGUUUAUCAGUUUUGUAGUGAAUGAGUUUUGAUUCAAAAUGAUCUAAUGCACAACUAAUACAGCUCUGCUUCAGAAUUAAGUUCCCUUAGACCAGAGCAGUACUUGGCUUUCUCACUGUUUAAGAAAGAACCUGGAAGCUAACCUGAUAUAUAUAAAAAACCCUCUGUUAUUAUGAUCAAUAAGUCAGAGUACUCUAAUGUGUCUCCUUCUCCUGCCAUCCCCAGCACAUGGGCCAUUUGAGCUCUGUGGUGCCAUUUCCUCUUGCAGCUCCCUUGUUCCUCCCAGACUUCUGACAGUCUGGCUGGGGCAGGGCAUGAGUCUGUCGUUCAUCCUCCUUACGAAUCAGCUACGCCACUGUGGAAUUUUUAUUGGCCAUAAAUACUUUAUUGGCCAGAUUAAUAUGAUUUAAAGUGUUGCACCUAGUAAAUACUGUGUGCUAUUUGCUUUAGCAAUACCUGUGGAAAAGAGCAACCUGGGGACCCAGGCAAUGUCAGUACUAGUGGAAGUAGGGGAUCUGAAUCACUAGAGGGGGCCUGGAUGAAGAACGAUCUGAGGUUGCUCUUGGAGGGAGGUCCAUGCAGCGUUGGGACUCUCCGUUGGUGCGUGCGGCUACCAUGUGUUGUAAUGUUCCACUUCACUGACUGUCAAAGCUUUCGACAGCCUCUCCUGCUGACUUGUGACCAGAGGAUCCCUUUCAACACAGGGAAAGUCUGCUGAGGGAAGGAAAGAAAGAAACACUUUUAAAAAGAAAUAAAUGGUAGUUGGUUUUCUGGUGGUCUCAUUUUUAUUGCCUGUGGAUUUGCUGCUGGAGUCCUGUCUUCAUUGUAGAGGUCAAAGCUGAUGUGUAUUGUUAUAGGAUGCAAGACAUGGCUUAUACCUACUUCAACGAUUGUCAUAAUAAUGGGAGGGGGAAAAGCACACUUAUUAAAAGAAAAGAUAUUUUGCAAAGGCACGUGGAUUCCUGGCCCAAAGAGAAAGAAGAAGAGGCCAAUUUACUUGGGUUUACCCCCUCCGAAAGUGAACUGAGAAAAAGAAAACAAGACAAUAUGCUAAGGACCAUCUGUUUUCUUUUCCCUGCCAAAUGUUUGCUCUCAACAGCUAGGAAAAAGUGACCAACAGAGAUGGAGGAAGUUCAUUUCUGAAAAAAAACUGGCAUGUUCUACUGUAAACCUUUCUGAAAUAGCAGCCCUCCUGUCCUCUGUCUCAUGGGACUGUUUUCUUUUGCUAACACAUUUCUGAGACAUGGUAGCAGAAGGGGUACUGGUGCAUUCUACCCUAUCUGAUCUUGCACUGAGAUGUUUUGCUUCUUAGUUUCUGGAUUAUAUGUCAGGAAAAAAAGUGUAUCUGGAAAUGCAAAUAGAAAACUGGCUAAAACAUUAGAAAAGGUGGCAGCAAAAGACCUGGCCGUUAAACUACGCAAACAGAAAUGGAAGAGGGUGCAAAAAGGAUUUCAUCAGUCCAUUAGAUCAUCUUCUUUAACAGGGAAAGGUUUUCAAGAUGAAAGUCAAACAUACUGCUGUGAUGCAUCUGAGUUGGACAAAUGAUUUAGUACAAAACUUUUCUGGUGAUUUCUUGAGUUGGUUUUCCGUCUACUUCCUUACUUCGUGAAGUACUUGCUGCAUGCUGGUGUCCCAGUAGGUCAGGAAAUCCUGAACAUGGGUCUUUGCAAAGUCUGUGCCUUCCUUCACUGCCAAUAUCUCCCCCACAGCUCCUCUGACAGAAGACAGGAAGAUGUAGAAACAGCCAACAAUCCUUUGUUCUUCCCUGACAAAUUUAAAAAUCGGACAGCUGUGCCAUGUGCCAUUAUGUUUUCAUCAAAAAAAAACAUAAACGGGUUGAAGAGGGAAAACACCCUUCCCAAAACCAGUGAACCUUUAGAGAAGGCUCAGGCAGCCUACAGGCCUCAGGCAGCCUACAGGCCUCAGGCAGCCAUCAGCGCUACCCCAGCUGUAAAAAAUCUGAAAGCCCUAAAAAAGAAGGCUCAAAAGGAGACCGAAGAUUGUCACUAAACAGAACCAAUUGGUGGUUUCAUGUGAACAAAUACUACAGUUUUUCACUCCUACAGUGCUGUGUGGUACUUUGUGUGGCAUUGCUGGGGAGGAGCAGUAAGUGAUGCCUGUGGGUACAUGUAUAAACUAAAAGGAGAGAGGAUAACUGAAAAUGCCCAGAGCUGCCUGGGGCACGUCUGCAUUAGGCAGAGAGCCUGUACUCUGCUCAGUGGAGGUACCAGUGAGAUUUAGACAUCACUGUCCUCAGCAGAUCUGGCUGUUCUAAUAAUGCCCUUCACAUACUCAGUCUUUUUGCUGUGACUGUAAUCAGGCUUUCCCUCCCUCAUGCCUGACUUACACCUCCCUAUACCUGCUUUCCCUCCUCAGCUGGAUAAAAUAACUAAUACCCUUUGAGUCCUGAAUGUUUUAGUAGGCCACUGCAUACAGUGUAGUGGAAGCAGAGAGAUUAGGUGGCACGCCCAACGGGUUAAAGGCAGGAUUUUUCAUUCCUAGGUCUAUGCAUACAUUGCCACCCACAUCAAUGUCCAAUGUGGAAUGAUUAGGAGAAUAAAAGCCACAGCAAAUACAACCAAAAAUGAGGUUUGCUGCAGCUAAUAAUUCCUGCUUUCUAUUGAAAUAUGUGCAAUGUAGAGGCCAGGGCCUUUAAGUCUGUUUCUGUACAGAGAAAUGCAGCAGUACAAAAAAGCACAUGAAGGAUUUUUCCAGGGAAAAAUCUAGGACACACUCAGAAGCUCAUGUUUCAGUGCUUGCUUUGCAGUGAGUGUAGCCUUCUAGGAACCAUAACACAUGUAAGGGCUUUAUGUAAGAGACUUCUCUAAAAUUCUCAAAUGUGACAUAUUCUGUCACAGUUGCAAUAUUUUUUAAAAAUAAAAAUAGCACAGUGGAGAGGUAUUUCUAGACCAACACAAGUUUCGUCAACUCUUUAUCACAAUAAAGAAGUAAGUGCAAACUU